ACGGGUGAGUAACGCGUGGGCAACCUGCCCUGUACAGGGGGAUAACAGUUAGAAAUGACUGCUAAUACCGCAUAAGCCCACAGCUUCGCAUGAAGCAGUGGGAAAAACUCCGGUGGUACAGGAUGGGCCCGCGUCUGAUUAGCUAGUUGGUAAGGUAACGGCUUACCAAGGCGACGAUCAGUAGCCGACCUGAGAGGGUGACCGGCCACAUUGGGACUGAGACACGGCCCAAACUCCUACGGGAGGCAGCAGUGGGGAAUAUUGCACAAUGGGGGAAACCCUGAUGCAGCGACGCCGCGUGAGCGAUGAAGUAUUUCGGUAUGUAAAGCUCUAUCAGCAGGGAAGAAAGUGACGGUACCUGACUAAGAAGCCCCGGCUAACUACGUGCCAGCAGCCGCGGUAAUACGUAGGGGGCAAGCGUUAUCCGGAUUUACUGGGUGUAAAGGGAGCGUAGACGGAAGUGCAAGUCUGAAGUGAAAGCCCGGGGCUCAACCCCGGGACUGCUUUGGAAACUGUAUU
rnacentral:rRNA from 1 species